GAUGAACGCUGGCGGCGUGCCUAAUACAUGCAAGUCGAGCGAACGGACGAGAAGCUUGCUUCGCGGAUGUGAGCGGCGGACGGGUGAGUAACACGUGUAUAACCUACCUAUAUGUCUGGGAUAUCUUGGGGAAACCGUAUCUAAUACCGUAGAAUAUUUUGAUCCGCGGUGUGCAAAAGUGAAAGACGGUCUUGCUGUCACUAAUAGAGGCAUCUGGGCUGCAUGAGCUAGUUGGUAAGGUAACGGCUUACGAAGGCAACGAUGCAUAGCCGACCUGAGAGAGUGAUAGCCGACACUGGAAGUGAGACACGGUCAUGGGUACUACGGGAGGCAGCAGUAGGGAAUCUUACGCAAUGGGCGGGAGCAUGACGGAGCGACGCCGCGUGAGUGAUGACGGUCUUCGGAUCGUAAAACUCUGUUAUUAGGGAAGAACAGAUGUGUAAGUAAAUGUGCACAUAUUGACGGUACCUAAUAAGAAAGCAACGGCUAACUACGUG
rnacentral:rRNA from 1 species